rnacentral:rRNA from 1 species
UACGAAGGGGGCUAGCGUUGCUCGGAAUCACUGGGCGUAAAGCGCCCGUAGGCGGAUUGCUAAGUCAGGGGUGAAAUCCUGGAGCUCAACUCCAGAACUGCCUUUGAUACUGGCGAUCUUGAGUCCGGGAGAGGUGAGUGGAACUGCGAGUGUAGAGGUGAAAUUCGUAGAUAUUCGCAAGAACACCAGUGGCGAAGGCGACUCACUGGCCCGGUACUGACGCUGAGGUGCGAAAGCGUGGGGAGCAAACAGG